rnacentral:rRNA from 1 species
GACGAACGCUGGCGGCGUGCUUAACACAUGCAAGUCGAGCGGUAAGGCCCUUCGGGGUACACGAGCGGCGAACGGGUGAGUAACACGUGAGCAACCUGCCCCCGACUCUGGGAUAAGCGGUGGAAACGCCGUCUAAUACCGGAUACGACCCGCCACCUCAUGGUGUGCGAGUGGAAAGUUUUUUCGGUUGGGGAUGGGCUCGCGGCCUAUCAGCUUGUUGGUGGGGUAAAGGCCUACCAAGGCGAGUACGGGUAGCCGGCCUGAGAGGGCGACCGGCCACACUGGGACUGAGACACGGCCCAGACUCCUGCGGGAGGCAGCAGUGGGGAAUAUUGCACAAUGGGCGAAAGCCUGAUGCAGCGACGCCGCGUGGGGGAUGACGGCCUUCGGGUUGUAAACCUCUUUUACCACUAACGCAGGCUCCACGUUCUCGUGGGGUUGACGGUAGGUGGGGAAUAAGGACCGGCUAACUACGUGCCAGCAGCCGCGGUAA